rnacentral:tRNA from 1 species
GGGAAGGUGGCUCAGUGAGUGGUAGAGCGCUUGCCUUUCAUGCAUGAGGCCCUGGGUUCGAUUCCUCAAUGCCA